UACAGAGGGUGCAAGCGUUAAUCGGAAUUACUGGGCGUAAAGCGUGCGUAGACGGUUACAUAAGUCGGGUGUGAAAGCCCCGGGCUCAACCUGGGAAUUGCAUUCGAGACUGCGUAGCUAGGGUGCGGAAGAGGGAAGCGGAAUUUCCGGUGUAGCGGUGAAAUGCGUAGAUAUCGGAAGGAACACCAGUGGCGAAAGCGGCGCACUGGACCACAACUGACGCUGAGGCGCGAAAGCUAGGGGAGCAAACAGG
rnacentral:rRNA from 1 species